rnacentral:rRNA from 1 species
AAAUGAAUAGACGGGGGCCCGCACAAGCGGAGGAACAUGUGGUUUAAUUCGAUGAUACGCGAGGAACCUUACCCGGGCUCGAACGCAAGUUGACGGUAUAUGAAAGUAUACUUCCAGCAAUGGCAAUUUGCGAGGUGCUGCAUGGUUGUCGUCAGCUCGUGCCGUGAGGUGUCGGCUUAAGUGCCAUAACGAGCGCAACCCCCAUCUAUAGUUGCUAACGAGUAAAGUUGAGGACUCUAUAGAGACUGCCGGCGCAAGCUGCGAGGAAGGCGGGGAUGACGUCAAAUCAGCACGGCCCUUACGUCCGGGGCGACACACGUGUUACAAUGGCGGGGCACAGCGGGAUGCUGCAUGGCGACAUGUGGCUGACCCCUAAAACCCGUCUCAGUUCGGAUUGGAGUCUGCAACCCGACUCCAUGAAGCUGGAUUCGCUAGUAAUCGCGCAUCAGCCACGGCGCGGUGAAUACGUUCCCGGGCCUUGUACACACCGCCCGU